ensembl:misc_RNA Y_RNA Y RNA
GGCUUGUCCGAGCACAGUGGUUUUUAUAACUAAUUGAUCACAACCAAUUAUAGAUUCCUUUGUUCCUUCUUCACUCCCAUUGCUUCACUUGACUAGCCUUAA